GAUGGCAGGAUGCGUAUAGAAUUUUCCUUAUUCAAUUUGAAACUAGGUCAAAAAAGAGUCAUUCUACUCGGCUGCUUUCACACCGCACACUUGCUAACGUGGUUUCUCUCUUUCUUUUUUAUUUUACUCUUUUUUUUUAUUUUUUAUUUUUUUGGUCUUGGGAAAAAGACUCAGGAGAUAGCAUUUGCCCUUCUUUCUUCCCACAAACCUCCAUUGAUGACAGCAUCUGUGGCAUCCUCCAACAAAAAACUCUCUAUCUCUCACUCACAAACGUAUUGUAACAGUGAAACAUCUUUGGAACUCGGUAUUAUACUAUUAAUUGGUUGCCUGUGUGCUUUUCUCUUUAUGUACAAGUUUCUUUUUGAUCUAUCUCUGUGUGCCUGCCUCUCUUUGUGCAAGUUGGUUGUGUGUGGGUGUCUGUGUUCAAGUUGUCUGCCUCUCUGUAAGUUGGUUGUAUUUUUGUUUUUGCCCAUCAUCUGUUCAAUAGAAGUACAGAAAAAAACCAUCAUCUACUAUAUCUUUGCCAUCAUAGCUCCAUUACUUUGUGCGAGGGGUCUUAUGCUCCGAAAAUAGAAUGUAUAUACUAAUACGAAAUUGUUGUUACAAUUGUUAGUACACAAUCUAUGAAAUGAGGUCUGCAAUGUCAUUUCUACCCUAACAUGUGGGGGAUUUUGUUAUAUUGUAAAGGGAGCUAGUGUUUCAACUUUAAAGAAAUUUUGGAUACAGUUUCUCUUAUCCUCAAGACUGAAUUGUUUCUUCACUGGCAGAAGGGCUUUUCUAUUCGACCUUCGACCAUGACUCAAGUUUGUAACAGAUUCGAAUGGUGGGGGAGGAGAUUCGCACAAAGGGGAGAGGUGAAGCUCAAAUUCGCACAGUGGGAGAGAGAGGUUCGCACGGAGGGGAAGCGGCAAAGCUCAAGGGAGAUUCCAGGCAAAGGCGACGGGGAGGGAUUCACGGUGUUAAGGACCUACAGCAAAAGAGUUCUUCUACGGAACAACAACUGUAGCAGCUGCACACUUGCACACCAUACGUGGCGUCUUUCCUUUCUUUUUCUUUUUUUAAUAAUUCAAAAUGUGCGUUUUUAGAAAAUGUAUUACGGUUAGUUUUUUGCAUUUCGAAUUCCUCCCUCCUGCGAAACCCCUUCUACGUCGCCCGCGUGACACCUUCCUCUGCCCAGCACCACCGGUGAUGCCAGCUCUCUGCCCAGAAACACCGAAAGACACUACUUUGCUCAUACAAAGCUGCCGCUCCUCGGGAAAUCUUUUAACAAGCAAACGGUGUAAUUAUUCCUUAUAUAUAUCCUAAAGGGCUAAAGCUUCUUCCACAGCUCGUGUUUUCCAAGUCUUCUUCUCUAUUUUCCUACUUGUUCGUUUCUUAGGGUUUUCUUCUCAGUUAUGGAAUAUGCAGAAAUCGAAUACAGAUGCUUUGUCGAUUAUCAACGACCAUGAGACCGGGAGGUCUAGGGGAUUCGGAUUUGUGGGUAUGGUGAAAGUGGGUAUGGUUACAGUGGGUCCAGGUACUCGAGGGGUGGCGGCGGCGAUGGUGGUAGCUGGAGGAACUGAAGGGGCUAAAGGCUUAAUCGGGUCUGUAUCCUUGAUUUGAGUGGCUCUGUAGUCUAUAGAAGAUAGCGGUUUGGUUUGGUUUGGUUUUAUGGUUUCGAAUAUUCGAUUGUGGUUUUCUUGUUCCUUUCAGUUUGAUGCUCUCCUUUUUGACCGA